AUGCGAGUCUUUGUAGUAAUACAAGGCAUACGGCUCAGUAACGCGUAGUCAACCUACCCUAUGGACAAGAAUAAUCUCGGGAAACUGAGCAUAAUUCUUGAUAGAUCAUAAUGCCUGGAAUGGUUUAUGGUUAAAAUGAUUCGUCGCCAUAGGAUGGGACUGCGGCCUAUCAGCUUGUUGGUGAGGUAAUGGCCCACCAAGGCGAUUACAGGUACGGGCUCUGAGAGGAGAAGCCCGGAGAUGGGUACUGAGACAAGGACCCAGGCCCUAUGGGGCGCAGCAGGCGAGAAAACUUUGCAAUGUGCGAAAGCACGACAAGGUUAGUCCGAGUGAUUUCUGCUAAAGAGAUCUUUUGCUAGUUAUAAAACCACUAGUGAAUAAGGGGUGGGCAAGUUCUGGUGUCAGCCGCCGCGGUAAAACCAGCACCUCAAGUGGUCAGGAUGAUUAUUGGGCCUAAAGCAUCCGUAGCCGGCUCUGUAAGUUUUCGGUUAAAUCUAUGCGCUCAACGUAUGGGCUGCCGAAAAUACUGUAGAGAUAGGGAGUGGGAGAGGUAGACGGUACUCGGUAGGAAGGGGUAAAAUCCUUUGAUCUAUCGAUGACCACCUGUGGCGAAGGCGGUCUACCAGAACACGUCCGACGGUGAGGGAUGAAAGCUGGGGGAGCAAACCGGAUUAGAUACCCGGGUAGUCCCAGCUGUAAACUAUGCAAACUCAGUGAUGCAUUGGCUUGUGGCCAAUGCAGUGCUGCAGGGAAGCCGUUAAGUUUGCCACCUGGGAAGUACGUACGCAAGUAUGAAACU
rnacentral:rRNA from 1 species